UGCAAGUUUUCUUUCUGUAUUAGGUCAUGGAGAAGAUCAGCUUUAUAGGAGAAUGGUUGUGUGACCCACAAAGACGCAUUUGGACGCACUUCCCUUGUUUCCUCAGGAGGAAAAGUGCAUCACAACAGGCUGUGACCCUUGAUAUUAUGGUGCUGUGAGCCUCAUCAAGUCAACACCUCCAGCAGGCAAUAAAGCUGAUUUGCAGCCUCCAGAGAUGCAACUUGAAGUAAUAAUAAAAGUCAAC